CAGUAGCCACGGUAAUACGAAGGGUGCAAGCGUUAAUCGGAAUUACUGGGCGUAAAGCGUGCGUAGGCGGUUUGUUAAGUCUGUUGUGAGAUCCCCGGGCUCAACCUGGGAAUGGCAAUGGAUACUGGCAAGCUAGAGUGUGUCAGAGGAUGGUGGAAUUCCCGGUGUAGCGGUGAAAUGCGUAGAGAUCGGGAGGAACAUCAGUGGCGAAGGCGGCCAUCUGGGACAACACUGACGCUGAGGCACGAAAGCGUGGGGAGCAAACAGGAUUAGAUACCCCGGUAGUCCCUGUCUCUUAUAC
rnacentral:rRNA from 1 species